UACAGAGGUCUCAACCGUUGUUCGGAUUCAUUGGGCGUAAAGGGCGCGUAGGCGGAUUUGCAAGUCCGUGGUGAAAUCCCACAGCUCAACUGUGGAACUGCCUCGGAUACUGUGAGUCUCGAGGGUGGCAGGGGUAUGCGGAACUAUCGGUGGAGCGGUGAAAUGCGUUGAUAUCGAUAGGAACUCCGGUGGCGAAGGCGGCAUACUGGUCCACUUCUGACGCUGAGGCGCGAAAGCCAGGGGAGCAAACGGG
rnacentral:rRNA from 1 species